rnacentral:rRNA from 1 species
UACGGAGGGAGCUAGCGUUGUUCGGAAUUACUGGGCGUAAAGCGCACGUAGGCGGCUAUUCAAGUCGGGGGUGAAAGCCCGGGGCUCAACCCCGGAACUGCCCUCGAAACUAGGGAGCUAGAAUCUUGGAGAGGUCAGUGGAAUUCCGAGUGUAGAGGUGAAAUUCGUAGAUAUUCGGAAGAACACCAGUGGCGAAGGCGACUGACUGGACAAGUAUUGACGCUGAGGUGCGAAAGCGUGGGGAGCAAACAGG